UUGAAGAAAAAAGGUAUAGAAUCAAUUGGUUAGUUUUCAGUCUGAAAUGUAAGUAUAUUUUGCUUGUUAUUGUCGCUGUUUGGAAAAUGGUGUACACUAUCUAGGUAUAUAAUAGUACUGGGACUGGCCAGAACAGCUCAGAAUUAGAUUCCACACUCAGGAUCAUUAAUCAAGUCAUUUUACCUCAAUAGAAUUGUUUGAAAUCCUUUUAGAGCUAGAUUUUAUACUUGUCAUUAUAGUCAUAUUAUGUGCCAUUGACUUUCAAAGACCACAGCAUCCUUAUUUCUUGCUGGAACAACUUUAAACUUCUGGAGUAUAUUCUUCUAGCUACUAUCUUGUUGUAAGCAAAUGGACAAGAAGCUGGAGUUGUCUAGAACACUGUACGCAUCCGGUAAAGUCAAGGACAUCAGUUGCUUGCAGUUCUGUUAUAGUUUAUUUAAACUGGUUGAUGUUUUUUAUGGUGAUAAAUAUGUAUGUUCUGUGUAUUGUAUGCAAAUUUCAUAG